UACGUAGGGUGCGAGCGUUAAUCGGAAUUACUGGGCGUAAAGCGUGCGCAGGCGGUUUUGUAAGCCAGAUGUGAAAGCCCCGGGCUUAACCUGGGAAUGGCAUUUGGGACUGCAAGGCUUGAGUGCGGCAGAGGAGACUGGAAUUCCUGGUGUAGCAGUGAAAUGCGUAGAUAUCAGGAGGAAUACCGAUGGCGAAGGCAGAUCUCUGGCUGG
rnacentral:rRNA from 1 species